AAUUAAAUAAGGCCUAAUUCCUAAGGGGAAACGGGGGAACCACUUUUUGGGGUGAAUCGCAUCUUAUGCGUAGAGCGUGCGCUCGAAUCCGUCAGCUAACCUCGUAAGCUAGCUCGCACAAGAAGU
rnacentral:sRNA from 2 species